AUACUAACCUUGCGUAGGGUGUACCGUGAUCACGAAGGCGGUUGCCCCGGACUGGCUCCAACCAUUGCACUGAGGUUGGAAUUAGCUAGUUUGUGACCAUCCCAAACUGGGGUUCGUCGUACGUGUAAUUUUUGGUAGUUGGACAUGCGUUCUGCGCUGUCCUU